rnacentral:rRNA from 1 species
AAAUUGAAGAGUUUGAUCAUGGCUCAGAUUGAACGCUGGCGGCAGGCCUAACACAUGCAAGUCGAACGGUAACAGAAAGCAGCUUGCUGCUUUGCUGACGAGUGGCGGACGGGUGAGUAAUGUCUGGGAAGCUGCC